rnacentral:rRNA from 1 species
GACGAACGCUGGCGGCGUGCUUAACACAUGCAAGUCGAACGGAAAGGCCCUGCUUGCAGGGUACUCGAGUGGCGAACGGGUGAGUAACACGUGGGUGAUCUGCCCUGCACUUCGGGAUAAGCCUGGGAAACUGGGUCUAAUACCGGAUAGGAGCCAUUUUUAGUGUGAUGGUUGGAAAGUUUUUUCGGUGUAGGAUGAGCUCGCGGCCUAUCAGCUUGUUGGUGGGGUAAUGGCCUACCAAGGCGGCGACGGGUAGCCGGCCUGAGAGGGUGGACGGCCACAUUGGGACUGAGAUACGGCCCAGACUGCUACGGGAGGCAGAAGUGGGGAAUAUUGAACAAUGGGCGCAAGCCUGAUGCAGCGACGCCGCGUGGGGGAUGACGGUCUUCGGGUUGUAAACUCAUUUCGCUAGGGACGAAGCUUUUUGUGACGGUACCUAGAUAAGAAGCACCGGCUAACUACGUG